rnacentral:ncRNA from 2 species
CAAUAACAGCUAUUAUAGGCUCAUAUAAAUUCGGUAAUAAGGACCGAGAGUUUCUACCGCGCAACCGUAAAUUGUGUGACUAUGGGUGAUUUAUUGCAUUUA